rnacentral:lncRNA from 1 species
UGUCCGCCUGCAUCCACCGCCGGCCAUCCACCACGCACAGCACUCCGGCAGUUCAAAAAUCACAGGUUAUCAUCAAUAUGAGUGAAUCUCAAAAGAAGGUGGGAAAGAAGAAGGAUAAGAAGUCCUGUCCGGAUCAUCUACGUUUUCUCAAAGUACGUUCCGUGAGAUGCUUGUAGCUGCUAUCGUUAUGCAUGAGUUACCUUUGCCAUUUGUUGAUUAUAAGGGAUUUAGAGAUUUAUUUAAGUAUCUGCAACCUGAUGUCAAUAUCAUCU